rnacentral:tRNA from 1 species
UUUAGGAAAAUUGAGUAUUGUUAAUACUUAGAUGGCUAUUCCUCCUAAAA